rnacentral:rRNA from 1 species
AAACCAACCGGGAUUGCCUUAGUAACGGCGAGUGAAGCGGCAAAAGCUCAAAUUUGAAAUCUGGUACCUUCGGUGCCCGAGUUGUAAUUUGGAGAGGGCAACUUUGGGGCCGUUCCUUGUCUAUGUUCCUUGGAACAGGACGUCAUAGAGGGUGAGAAUCCCGUGUGGCGAGGAGUGCGU